AUUGAACGCUGGCGGCAGGCCUAACACAUGCAAGUCGAACGAGUGGCGGACGGGUGAGUAAUGUCUGGGAAACUGCCUGAUGGAGGGGGAUAACUACUGGAAACGGUAGCUAAUACCGCAUACCAUCAGAUGUGCCCAGAUGGGAUUAGCUAGUGGGUGGGGUAACGGCUCACCUAGGCGACGAUCCCUAGCUGGUUUGAGAGGAUGACCAGCCACACUGGACCAGAGACACGGUCCAGCCUCCUACGGGAGGAAGAAGUGGGAAAUAUUGGACAAUGGGCGCAAGCCGGAUGAGGACAUGCCGCGGGUAUGAAGAAGGCCUUCGGGUGGUAAAGUACUUUCAGCGGGGAGGCGUUACCCGCAGAAGAAGCACCGGCUAACUCCGUGCCAGCAGCCGCGGUAAUUC
rnacentral:rRNA from 1 species